GCCUACGACCAUCUCACCCUGAAUGCGCCCGAUCUCGUCUGAUCUCGGAAGCUAAGCAGAGUCGAGCCUGGUUAAUACUUGGAUGGGAGACUGCCUGGGAAUACCAGGUGUUGUAGGCU
ensembl:rRNA 5S_rRNA 5S ribosomal RNA